rnacentral:rRNA from 1 species
UAGUCCACGCCGUAAACGAUGAGAACUAGGCGUUGGGAGGUUUAACCUCUUAGUGCCGCAGCUAACGCGUUAAGUUCUCCGCCUGGGGAGUACGACCGCAAGGCUAAAACUCAAAGGAAUUGACGGGGGCCCGCACAAGCGGUGGAGUAUGUGGUUUAAUUCGAAGCGACGCGCAGAACCUUACCUACCCUUAACAUUUCACGACGUAUACAGAGAUGUAUAUUUCUCUUCGGAGACGUGAGGAUAGGUGCUGCAUAGCUGUCGUCAGCUCGUGUCGUAAGAUGUCUGGUUAAGUCCAAUAACGAGCACAACCCUUAUCCCUAGUUACCAGCAUUAAGUUGGGGACUCUAGGGAGACUGCCGGUGUUAAACCGGAGGAAGGCGGGGAUGACGUCAAGUCCUCAUGGCCCUUACGGGUAGGGCUACACACGUACUACAAUGGCAGAUACAAACCGUUUGCAAAGCCGCGAGGUUGAGCUAAUCGGUAAAACACUGUCCCAGUCCGGAUUGGAGUCUGCAACUCGACUCCA